UACGUAGGGUGCAAGCGUUGUCCGGAAUUAUUGGGCGUAAAGAGCUCGUAGGCGGUCUGUCGCGUCGGAUGUGAAAACCCAGGGCUCAACCCUGGGCCUGCAUUCGAUACGGGCAGACUAGAGUUCGGUAGGGGAGACUGGAAUUCCUGGUGUAGCGGUGAAAUGCGCAGAUAUCAGGAGGAACACCGGUGGCGAAGGCGGGUCUCUGGGCCAUAACUGACGCUGAGGAGCGAAAGCGUGGGGAGCGAACAGG
rnacentral:rRNA from 1 species